rnacentral:tRNA from 1 species
ACCUGGGUGGCUCAGUGGUUGAGCCUCUGUCUUUGGCUCAGGACGUGAUCCCGGAAUCCUGGGAUCAAAUCCCACAUCAGGUU